rnacentral:rRNA from 1 species
UACGUAGGGUGCGAGCGUUAAUCGGAAUUACUGGGCGUAAAGCGUGCGCAGGCGGUUUGGUAAGACAGGUGUGAAAUCCCCGGGCUCAACCUGGGAAUGGCAUUUGUGACUGCCCGGCUAGAGUGUGUCAGAGGGGGGUAGAAUUCCACGUGUAGCAGUGAAAUGCGUAGAGAUGUGGAGGUAUACCGAUGGCGAAGGCAGCCCCCUGGGAUGACACUGACGCUCAUGCACGAAAGCGUGGGGAGCAAACAGG